GGGGAAUAACUUCGAGAAAUCGAAGGCUAAGUACCGCAUGUGGUCUACGGAUCAAAGCAGUAAUGCGCUAGAGGAGGGGCCUGCGUCUGAUUAGCUUGGUUGGUGAGGUAAAAGCUCACCAAGGCGACGAUCAGUAGCUGGGAUCGAGAGGUUGACCAGCCACACUGGGACUGAGAUACGGCCCAGACUCCUACGGGGAGGCAGCAGUGAGGAAUCUUCCACAAUGGACGAAAGUCUGAUGGAGCAAUGCCGCGUGCAGGAUGACGGCCUUCGGGUUGUAAACUGCUUUUAUAUGGGAAGAUUAUGACGGUACCAUAUGAAUAAGGACCGGCUAACUACGUG
rnacentral:rRNA from 1 species